CGUGCGAACGUUAUUCGGAAUCAUUGGGCUUAAAGGGCGCGUAGGCGGCGGUGUAAGUUGGAAGUGAAAUCCCAUCGGCUCAACCGUGGAAUUGCUCCCAGUAUUGCAUCGCUCGAGGGGGAUAGGGGUUUGCGGAACUACCGGUGGAGCGGUGAAAUGUGUUGAUAUCGGUGGGAACGCCAGUGGCGAAAGCGGCAAACUUGACCCUUCCUGACGCUGAUGCGCGAAAGCCAGGGGAGCGAACGGG
rnacentral:rRNA from 1 species